rnacentral:lncRNA from 1 species
CUGAGACGCUGAAUGUCUUAAAAUUAUACUAACUAACUAACCCAUUGAGGAUUUAGAUGAAUUAUACGCUUCCAAGAAUAUAUAAAGUAGUCACAUUCCUUAGUAGUUUCCAACAACAACAACAACAACAACAACAACAACAACAACAACAACAACAACAACAACAAAAAGAGGUUCCGCUGUUGAGGUUAUGUACUUUUUCAAACAAAACUUCUUGGAGAUGCCAUGGCAUGAAAAAUGAUCAAAACGAUUGGCAUGUCACUAUGGAAAUUUCGAAAUCUCUGCUAAAAUGAAAACCCAGGUAGCGUGAUUUUAAGUUUUACCCAUGAUUUUAAUAGUUUUACCCGUGAAUAUAGUCUUUCUAAUAUUCUAAGUAUGUUCUUGCUGGUGUGCUGUGCUACCUUUGCUAAAUCUAACCUAAAAUGAGAAGAAUCUUCAUCAUGAGUAAGGUGACGUAAUACGGCGCUCAAUGCAAACUGGCAUGAGCAGCGAUGCCUCGAUUUAGUAUUAAAUGGACGCGUCAAAAAUCUUCAACAUUUUCAUGAUACUUCUCGCAGCAAACGUGAAAUUUCCUAGAACCGCCGGGCAGAAUUUGCAGAUCUCCCGAGCAGAGCGCGCGGAGCAAAAAUUUCGAGUGAAGCGCCAGGUCCCGAACCAAUACAAUUUCAACAGCAACUCGACGCAAAACCAACUACCAAAUCUAAACAGGGUGUAUUUCAGCAACAUUCCGAUAGACAGCGCUGUCGCGGAAAUGAAACAGCGUAUUCCAAGCCGUUACUUCGCCUACACCAAUUUCACGCAAAACCAGCCACUAGACCGGAACGGUUUCACGGUAAACUUACCGAUGGAUAGGAUUGUCGCAGAGAUGAAACAACAAUCCCCAAACCGGUUCCAUUCACCGGACCCGGUUUCCAGGGAUUCACCGAUAGAUGGCGCUGUCGCACAGAUGAACGAACAGAUCGUGAACCCAUACAUCUUCUACCCUAACGCAACUUUUAACCAGUUUCCAGAUUUGGGCGGUGAGUAUUUUACAAACUCCCCGAUGGAUGGCGCGGUUACACAGGAUUUCCCGAUAUUCCAACCGGAAAAACCGGGCGCUGGCAAUGUCAAGGACACGGUCACUGAUAACAGGAGCACGAUUUUCAACGUCCUCAUCUUGAGCAACUACCUCAGCUUGUCACCGUUCAGGGACGAACUCGGGGAUUCUGGGCUCGACGGGCGCGCGGUGUCCAAAUUCAAUUUUUCAGGGAGUGUCAAGGACUCGGCGGGACCCCGACUGGUCCCCAGGGUCAAAAACUCGACGAUAGUUUUCUUGGACGACGCCCGGCUCCCGAGCUACACGGGGAACGUGACGGACAGGAAUCGAGAGGAGAGCCGAAAAAAGUUCAGCUUCGAAGAUGUGAAUCUUGACAUGCGGAACCUGAAAGACCUGGUCAAUUUCAGGAGGAAACCGGUCCCUUUGGAGCUCUCUAGGGGUGGCAGUCUGCCGCGAGAUGUGGAAGACUCAUCGCAAGUGGAAGCGACGAUGAAUUUACCUACAGGUUCUCAAGACGAACCCGCGUUGGACCCGGGGCGAUACCCCGAGGUCACGCAGUUCCACGGCGACAACUCGUCUCUCAUCAUGAUCCGGCUCGACAAGAACAAGGACAAACGGCCGCGGUUCGGCGGGGGCCUCGACCAGCCGGGGAUGAGGGGUCGCGGGACCUUCCCUCCGAGGAAAUUCCGCAAAGAGAAGGGGUACUCCCUUCCGGGAAGGAGGGAGUCCGACGAGGAGCGGAACAUCGCGGAGGACUUCCGGGAGAUGGAGAUGCACCUCGCGCAGAUCUCGAAACUCAUGGCGCGGAUAGAGAAGAAGAAAAGCAGGCGGUCAGAAAUCCCUCGAUCCCAUCGGGGCUGAGGGCCAGAAGGUGAAAUCCUGCGAAGUGGCUCUGGCGGAUGCAGCAAAUUGGCAACAAUGUUUUUUUCCAUUUAAACCUAUGGAAAUGUAUCGAUUUUUGGAGGGGUCAGCAGCUCCAACAAGAAUCGAUAAGUUAACAUAGGUUUAAAUGGAGGGAAUACGGUGUUGCCAAAUUGAUGGACCCCCCUCUGGUGGUGCUCUGUGUGUAGCGAAUAUUUUCCACUGCGUAGUUUUUCACAAAUCGGCGAGGAGAAAAAUAUUUCGGUUGCGCGGAUCUCUUGGUUCAUAAGGAACACUGAUGUUUUCAGUCCGGGCAACCAAAGUUUCCAGUCAUAGAAACUGAAUUUCGAUUCGCACAACCGGAGUCUUCGGAAAAGAUUACGAGUCUUCGUAUGGCUAGCAGGAACUUCAGUCACCUCGACUGAUGGCUUCAGUGUUUCUUGUGAACAGAGGUUGUUUUUCGUUGUGGAUGUAAAAUUACGAUAAUUGGACUACAUUUUGCAAUUAGGAACUACAAUAUCUGGCAAAUCCGUAAAAACACGCAAGUCUAUGGAGUAACUACUGAUGCAUACGUUGAUUAAACUGAGCCAGAAAUUGUAGUUCCUAAUUUCAGAAAGUAGUCUAAUUGUUUUAGCUCUAAAUUUACUCGCAUUAUCUUCUUUCGAACGUGCGAGAUAAAUUAUUAGGGUGCUGCCCACUUGCUAGACUUUGGAACUAAGACGAGUGAGAAAUGGAAAAGCUUGAAGUCAGUUUCCGUAUUUUCACCUAGUAUUUUGUAUUUUUCACUAUAGACAGACAGUGUUCUGCAGAGAACCUUCUAAACCUCAUUUGUAGAUGGUAAAUGCUGUUAAAAUCACAUUAUUCAACCAUUAGAAGGAUUGUU